rnacentral:rRNA from 1 species
GACGAACGCUGGCGGCGUGCCUAAUACAUGCAAGUAGAACGCACAGUUUAUACCGUAGCUUGCUACACCAUAGACUGUGAGUUGCGAACGGGUGAGUAACGCGUAGGUAACCUGCCUGGUAGCGGGGGAUAACUAUUGGAAACGAUAGCUAAUACCGCAUAAUAUUAAUUAUUGCAUGAUAAUUAAUUGAAAGGUGCAAUUGCACCACUACCAGAUGGACCUGCGUUGUAUUAGCUAGUAGGUGAGGUAACGGCUCACCUAGGCGACGAUACAUAGCCGACCUGAGAGGGUGAUCGGCCACACUGGGACUGAGACACGGCCCAGACUCCUACGGGAGGCAGCAGUAGGGAAUCUUCGGCAAUGGACGAAAGUCUGACCGAGCAACGCCGCGUGAGUGAAGAGGGUUUUCGGAUCGUAAAGCUCUGUUGUAAGAGAAGAACGGGUGUGAGAGUGGAAAGUUCACACUGUGACGGUAGCUGACCAGAAAGGGACGGCUAACUACGUG